GAGAGGAAGUGGAGGUCAGCAGUGGAAGACUAAGCAAGAGAGGGAUUUGAAGGAGAAGUGGCAAGCAGGAUCAGAGAAGAUGUAGAGAGGGGAAAGGACAGAGCUGUGCCAAGUGUCACAUCGGGAUCCAGAGUUCAGUGGCUGAGGGCCCUGGCUUCAGUAGAACUCCUAUGAUCAUGUUGCCUGGCGAAGGAGGAUUUCAGGAAAUUGCACAG